rnacentral:ncRNA from 1 species
AGCCACGGACGACCGUGGUGCAGAUGACUAGCGGCGGGACGGCCCGC